ensembl:lncRNA
CCACACGGGGGAAAUUCCCUCGUUAGAGCAGCUCAAUUAAACACAACAGAUAAGAACACAACAAUUAAACACAACAGAUAUGAACACCUCAUUUUAUGUGCAAAAUUCGCCUGUGAAGACGACUCCGCCUGACUGUGACUGAGGUCUUGUUGGGCAUAAAAGGAAAACAUUAAUAUCAACAGUAAAAUAAACUCCGGGUUAAUGCUGAUUUCUGGGCCAAACUUAGAGGUCAAACCUCAGCCUACAACUCAGGGACCUGUUGUCAUACAGGAAAGCCGGAUACAACCGACAGAGGAUCAUCAGGACUGCAAAGAAUGGCUACAGAGACAAGAUUGUGUUGAACUAUCAAAGAUCAGACCUCAAGCACAUGUAGAAUGGUUUGUGCUCCAUUACAGACUACAAAGGUUGGAAAAUCUGCAAUGGGGACUAUCUGCCUCACUACCUGAUGAGCAGAACACCUUCUAUGCUCAGUUUAAGGCCAGCAACACCUUCCAUGCAGAAAAACUCCCGGUGAACUGCAACAGCUGCGCACUAACCAUCACUGUGCCUUAUGUGAUCAGAUCUUUCAAGACGGCCAAUACAAGCAAAGCACCAAAUCUGGUGUCCUCAAAUCAUGUGCCAGCCACCUGCGGAGACUCAGGAAGUUUAAUUUCUCCGAAAAUCCUGACCAUUUUCUACAAAUACCCCAUAGAGAGCAUCCUGACUGGGUGCAUGAAUGUUUGGUUUGGCAGCUGCCCCCUGCGUGAAUGCAAGGCCCUCCGAAGAGUGGUGAGAGCAGCUGAACUCAUUAUUGGCAACAGACUCCCAGCCUUACAAGACAUCUUCCAUACAUGAUGUCUGAGGAAAGCACACUAAAUCAC